AGAGUUUGAUCCUGGCUCAGGAUGAACGCUGGCGGCGUGCCUAACACAUGCAAGUCGAGCGCGAUUGGUUGGAACGGAGACUUCGGUCAAAGAGAAGACUAUGAAAGCGGCGGACGGGUGAGUAACGCGUGAGCAACCUGCCCUGUACAGGGGGAUAGCCACUGGAAACGGUGAUUAAUACCCCAUAACCCCAAAGGAUCGCAUGGUCUAAUGGGCAAAGCCUUGGCGGUACAGGAUGGGCUCGCGUCUGAUUAGCUAGUUGGUGAGGUAACGGCUCACCAAGGCGACGAUCAGUAGCCGACCUGAGAGGGUGAACGGCCACACUGGAACUGAGACACGGUCCAGACUCCUACGGGAGGCAGCAGUGGGGAAUAUUGCACAAUGGGCGCAAGCCUGAUGCAGCAACGCCGCGUGAGUGAAGAAGGCCUUCGGGUCGUAAAACUCUGUCCUAAGGGAAGAAGAAGUGACGGUACCUUAGGAGGAAGCCCCGGCUAACUACGUGCCAGCAGCCGCGGUAAUACGUAGGGGGCAAGCGUUAUCCGGAAUCACUGGGCGUAAAGGGUGCGUAGGCGGCUGAUCAAGCCAGGGGUGAAAGGCUGUGGCUUAACCAUGGUAAGCCUUUGGAACUGGUCAGCUUGAGUGCAGGAGAGGAAAGCGGAAUUCCUAGUGUAGCGGUGAAAUGCGUAGAUAUUAGGAGGAACACCCGUGGCGAAGGCGGC
rnacentral:rRNA from 1 species